rnacentral:rRNA from 1 species
GAGUGAACGCUGGCGGCGUGCUUAACACAUGCAAGUCGAGCGAAGUGGCAGCUGUAGCAAUACAGUAUGUGCUUAGCGGCAGACGGGUGAGUAACACGUAGACAAUCUACCUUCUAGAGGGGGAUAGCCCGCCGAAAGGCGGGGUAAUACCGCGUACGAUCAGAGCUCGGCAUCGAGCAUUGAUGAAACAUCCGCAAGGAUGACUAGAAGAGGAGUCUGCGGCCUAUCAGCUAGUUGGCGGGGUAAUGGCCCACCAAGGCAACGACGGGUAUCCGACCUGAAAGGGUGACCGGACACACUGACACUGAGACACGGGUCAGACUCCUACGGGAGGCAGCAGUGAGGAAUUUUGGACAAUGGGGGAAACCCUGAUCCAGCGACGCCGCGUGAAGGAUGAAGGUCUUCGGAUUGUAAACUUCUUUUGCCUGGGAAUAACCCCUUCAUAGAAAUAUGGAGACUGAAUGUACCAGGCGAAUAAGCCACGGCUAACUUCGUGCCAGCAGCCGCGGUAAUACGAAGGUGGCAAGCGUUACUCGGAAUUACUAGGCGUAAAGGGCAGGUAGGUGGUCUGGUUAGUCUGUUGUGAAAGCUCCUUGCUUAACGGGGAGAGGCCAACAGAUACUGCCAGGCUUGAGUAUAGGAGAGGGUACUGGAAUUCCCGGUGUAGCGGUGAAAUGCGCAGAGAUCGGGAGGAACACCAAUGGCGAAAGCAGGUACCUGGACCAUUACUGACACUCAGCUGCGAAAGCUAGGGGAGCAAACAGGAUUAGAUACCCUGGUAGUCCUAGCCGUAAACGAUGCACAUUAGGCGUGAGGGGUAUCGACCCCCUUCGUGCCGAAGCAAACG